AUACGAAAGGUGCAAGCGUUGUUCGGAUUUACUAGGCGUAAAGAGAGUGUAGGUGGUUUAUUAAGUCGGAUGUGAAAUCCCGGGGCUCAACCUCGGAACUGCAUUCGAUACUGAUAGGCUAGAGUUUGGGAGGGGUAAGCGGAAUUCCGUGUGUAGCAGUGAAAUGCGUAGAUAUACGGAGGAACACCUGAGGCGAAGGCGGCUUACUGGACCAAUACUGACACUGAGACUCGAAAGCGUGGGUAGCAAACAGGAUUAGAAACCCCAGUAGUCC
rnacentral:rRNA from 1 species